AUUGAACGCUGGCGGCAUGCCUUACACAUGCAAGUCGAACGGUAACAGGUCUUCGGAUGCUGACGAGUGGCGAACGGGUGAGUAAUAUAUCGGAACGUGCCCAGUCGUGGGGGAUAACGCAGCGAAAGCUGUGCUAAUACCGCAUACGAUCUAUGGAUGAAAGCGGGGGAUCGCAAGACCUCGCGCGAUUGGAGCGGCCGAUAUCAGAUUAGGUAGUUGGUGGGGUAAAGGCCCACCAAGCCAACGAUCUGUAGCUGGUCUGAGAGGACGACCGGCCACACUGGGACUGAGACACGGCCCAGACUCCUACGGGAGGCAGCAGUGGGGAAUUUUGGACAAUGGGCGAAAGCCUGAUCCAGCCAUUCCGCGUGCAGGAUGAAGGCCCUCGGGUUGUAAACUGCUUUUGUACGGAACGAAAAGGCUCUGGUUAAUACCUGGGGCUCAUGACGGUACCGUAAGAAUAAGCACCGGCUAACUACGUGCCAGCAGCCGG
rnacentral:rRNA from 1 species